CGGAUGGAUCAAGUGCUUGAAAGC
rnacentral:piRNA from 1 species